UUUCCCACAAAACUUAAAACUCCCAAUAAGGGUAACUAUCCUAAUGCAAAAAGGACUCACACAUGCUACAUUUAAAGUAAUAAAGCACUAGGUCUGGCUCAUGCCUGUAAUCCUAGCACUUUGGGAGUCUGAAGUUGGCGGAUCACUUUAGGUCAGGAGUUAGAGACCAGCCUGGCCAACAUAGUGAAGUCCCAUCUCUAC